UACGUAGGGGGCGAGCGUUAUCCGGAACUACUGGGCGUAAAGCGCACGCAGGCGGUUCGCCAAGUUUGGAGUGACAGUUGUCGGCUCAACCGACAAAGGACUUCAAAAACUGGUGAACUUGAGGACGAGAGAGGAACAUGGAACUCCAGGUGUAGUAGUGAAAUGCGUAGAUAUCUGGAAGAACACCAAUGGCGAAGGCAAUGUUCUGGCUCGUUUCUGACGCUCAGGUGCGAAAGCCAGGGGAGCGAACGGG
rnacentral:rRNA from 1 species